AGAGUUUGAUCAUGGCUCAGGACGAACGCUGGCGGCGUGCUUAACACAUGCAAGUCGAGCGGAAAGGCCCUUCGGGGUACUCGAGCGGCGAACGGGUGAGUAGCACGUGAGUAAUCUGCCCCUAGCUCUGGGAUAGCUCCGGGAAACCGGGAUUAAUACCGGAUAUGACCACUACGGACAUCUGUUUUGGUGGAAAGAAUUUCGGCUAGGGAUGAGCUCGCGGCCUAUCAGCUUGUUGGUGGGGUAACGGCCUACCAAGGCGACGACGGGUAGCCGGCCUGAGAGGGCGACCGGCCACACUGGGACUGAGACACGGCCCAGACUCCUACGGGAGGCAGCAGUGGGGAAUAUUGCGCAAUGGGCGAAAGCCUGACGCAGCGACGCCGCGUGGGGGAUGAAGGCCUUCGGGUUGUAAACCCCUUUCAGCAGGGACGAAGCGAGAGUGACGGUACCUGCAGAAGAAGCGCCGGCUAACUACGUGCCAGCAGCCGCGGUAAUAC
rnacentral:rRNA from 1 species